ensembl:lncRNA
CGUCACAUGACUGCAACUAGGAAACGGGGCUUUGAGAGCUAUCAGUAGAUAUUUCUUAAACGCGAUAACAGAAAGUACUAUCUUUUAUGUUACUCCCUUGCUCGUUGAAAGUGGUCCCGACACGAUAAGAAGCAACAUGGGCUCUCCUAACCAGACCUGUGACAGUGGUGGGUCUCUGUGUCCCCAUACAGUACGUUAACAUCCAGGUUACAGCACUUGGAUCGGGAUGAUUUUCACAGACCACUACCACAACAACCCUGUCAUGGUGUGUUUCUGCCAUCUUCUCCUGGAGAGACAACAGAGGACCACAGAGGCAGAAUCGUACUCCACGUUCCACAACACACCUUCGCCAGAUUCAGCCCGUGGAAGCAGGGCCAGGCGGUGAUGGAUGCUCCUCUACACCCUGAUGAAGAACCCACGACUGAUCCUCCUGAGGAAGAACAGGACCUCCUCCAGUCCCACUCACCAGGACACUGUUGUCCAAGCCUGGCUGCUGGCCUCUCAGACCGAACAGAUGGGACAGGCACCAGAGACGACAGCCACAGCCGUUACAUCAGAUCAGACGACGGCCAAUGGGCAGGCAUUAACUGACUGAUUCUGCUCAUGGCUUAUACAUGCGCAGCCUGAAAUAGUGUAGUACAAUAAUGUGACAUAACAUUUAGUAGGCCUACACACAUUUCGAGGACACCUUUUUGGCUCAUGGGUGCUACAUUUGAUACUACAGGCCAAGCUCUUACAAUGCAUUGUUUUGUAUGUGAUGAAUCAUGGGAAAUGGGGAUAACAACUGAAAUGUGUCUUCUGCAUUUAACCCAACCCCUCUGAAUCAGAGAGGUGCCGGGGGCUGGCUUAAUUGACAUCUACAUCUUUGGCACCCAGAGAACAGUGGGUUAACUGCCUUGCUUAGGGGCAGAACAACAGAUUCUUACCUUGUCAGCUCGGGGAUUCUAUCCAGCAAACUUUUGGUUACUGGGCCAAUGUUCUAACCAUUAGGCUAAUAUGAUUAAUGCAUUAUAAAUUCGGAAAUACCUACAUAAUUACUCCUACUGGGAAAAAUGAUAGGACAAAUUGGACAUAGUUAUGCUUUUUACCUCAUAACGGUCCAUUUGUUUUUACUAGGCCACGUAGCCACAGGAAGUAGAGGUGCUGAGGGUGUUGCAGCACUCUAAAAAAUCUGAAUAAAAAAUAUACAGUACCAGUCAAAAGUUUGGACACACCUACUCCAACCUCGGCCAACAGCUCCGCCCCCCCGGCAGCUCCUCGCCCAAGCCUCUCCAGGUUCUCCUUUACCCAAAUCCAGAUAGCAGAUGUUCUGAAAGAGCUGCAAAACCUGGACCCGUACAAAUCAGCUGGGCUUGACAAUCUGGACCCCCUAUUUCUGAAACUUUGCGCCGCCAUUGUCGCAACCCCUAUUACCAGCCUGUUCAACCUCUCUUUCAAAUCGUCUGAGAUCCCCAAGGAUUGGAAAGCUGCCGCAGUCAUCCCCCUCUUCAAAGGGGGAGACACCCUGGAC